rnacentral:rRNA from 1 species
UACGUAGGGUGCGAGCGUUGUCCGGAAUUAUUGGACGUAAAGGGCUCGUAGGCGGUCUGUUGCGUCAGGAGUGAAAACUCGGGGCUUAACCCCGAGCCUGCUUCUGAUACGGGCAGACUAGAGGUAUGCAGGGGAGAACGGAAUUCCUGGUGUAGCGGUGAAAUGCGCAGAUAUCAGGAGGAACACCGGUGGCGAAGGCGGUUCUCUGGGCAUUACCUGACGCUGAGGAGCGAAAGUGUGGGGAGCGAACAGG